UUCUGUACUUCCAUUGUAAGAUAAACAUAUACUUUUAUUAUGUUUGUGUCUCUUUAAAAUUGCAAUGUUUAGAUGUUUGUCAUUUGAAAAGAAACUGGAUCAGAGAUUUCUUGCUGCCUUAAGGUAUGUGACUACACUUUGCCAUGUUCAUUUCAACAACUUAAGCCUAUUCACCUACACCUAUUCACAUACAAUGAACAAAAUGUGGUUUUUUUUUUUUCCUUGCAUUUGCAAAAUACUGAAGUUUGCAUAUGUGUCUCCAUAGCAACCAUAGUUACAGUCAUGAUGGAGGCUGCAAAGUUAGCACAUGAAAGAAAGUUUAUCUUGCUUGCUGAUCAGGUAUCACUGAUGGGAGGCUGCCUUUCUUGUGUGUGUUUGUGGGUUUUUUUCCCAAAUGUUUUAAAUAAUAUUCUGAAAUAAUGUUGUACUUGGAAAACCUAAGAUGAGUGCUGAUGAGAACAAAGAAAAGAGGAAAAAGGAUCAACGAUUUGAGAACUGUUUCUUAGCAUGGUUUUGAUUGAUUUAUUUUUUUAGAUGGAGUUGUCAAUAUAAAACUGAUAGUUUGGGGCUUUGAAAUUAGACUAGGCUAAUUGCUACAGGUACAUGUGAGGCUACUUAAAUAUCUUACCUGGAAUUUUCAAUUUGGAAACAAGUUGGCAACAGUAAAGAUGGGCUUGGGUUUUGGCUGGAAUUACCUGAGAACAUGUCCAGAUAAAACUGUAGAUCAGAUUCACUGAGACUGAAAUGUGGCCAAGAUGGACAAAGGGCUGCUUUGAUGGUGAGGGAAGUUACCAGAUCAAAGGAUCCUAAUUCCUAAUAUUCCUAAUUCCAGUGAAAUGACCUCUAAAGCUGUGGAAGUGAAAUUGCUUGCAACAUUUGUUCAGAUGGUGGUUUCUUUGCAUCUUUUAAUAAAGGAAAAAACAAAGGCGUGGAGAAGUAGUGGAUCCCCCCAAGAUUAUCCAGCAGGCUUACAGCAAAGCUGGGAUUGGAUUCAACUGUUUGCCAGUCAUGGAACUAUAUAUUCCUGAUCAUUUGUCUUGCCUUGUAACCUGUUAAUGGUGGGGUAGGCUUUUUGUUUUGUUUGGAGUGUACAGCACUGACUUGGGUUGUGGAGAUCUUACUGUAAAGAAGUUAAAAAUAAAAUUACUCCUGAAUCCUGGGAUUUGCCAUGUGACUCUUGGAAAAACUGAUGGGCUAUUUAUAUGAGCAAGAUAUGGCAAAAUUGAGACUUAUUUCUGACUGAUAGUGUGACUGAAUGGAGGUGCUGCUCCUUUUAUCUUUUUGAUAAAGAGGUGGUGGGGGAAAGCCAAAGGACAUGACUCUUGAGGGUGCAUAUGUGUGUGUUUUAACUGUUAAAUGCUAUAUGUAACGCUCAGACUUUCCACUUAGUAACACCUUUGUUGUGCAUAUAUCACUAUUUUGUAAAACUUCCCUUUCUGUAAGUUCUGUAAUGUGACUAUGUAAUUUAUCUCAGACUAAAACUCAAAGUGAAACA